CAGCGGUUAGUUUAAUUAAAAAUGUUAAUUUUGGAGAUUAAUGAUAAGUUUGUUUCUUACCGCUGA
rnacentral:tRNA from 1 species